UACGUAGGUGGCAAGCGUUAUUCGGAAUUAUUGGGCGUAAAGCGCGCGCAGGCGGCCUCUUAAGACAGAGGUGAAAGCCCCCGGCUCAACCGGGGAGGGCCAUUGGUAACUGGGAGGCUUGAGUAUAGGAGAGAAGAGUGGAAUUCCACGUGUAGCGGUGAAAUGCGUAGAGAUGUGGAGGAACACCAGUGGCGAAGGCAACUCCUUGGCCUAUAACUGACGCUGAGGCGCGAAAGCGUGGGGAGCAAACAGG
rnacentral:misc_RNA from 1 species